rnacentral:rRNA from 1 species
UACGUAGGUGGCAAGCGUUAUCCGGAAUUACUGGGCGUAAAGCGCACGCAGGCGGUCUUUUAAGUUUGACGUGAAAGCUCCCGGCUUAACUGGGAGAGGUCGUUGAAUACUGGAAGACUUGAGGCAAUGAGAGGGGUGUAGAAUUCCCGGUGUAGUGGUGGAAUGCGUAGAUAUCGGGGGGAAUACCAGUGGCGAAAGCGGCACCCUAGCGUUAGCCUGACACUCAUGUGCGAAAGCGUGGGGAGCGAACGGG